GUUUGAUCCUGGCUCAGGAUGAACGCUGGCGGCGUGCUUAACACAUGCAAGUCGAACGGGAAUUACUUUAUUGAAACUUCGGUCGAUUUAAUUUAAUUCUAGUGGCGGACGGGUGAGUAACGCGUGGGUAACCUGCCUUAUACAGGGGGAUAACAGUCAGAAAUGGCUGCUAAUACCGCAUAAGCGCACAGAGCUGCAUGGCUCAGUGUGAAAAACUCCGGUGGUAUAAGAUGGACCCGCGUUGGAUUAGCUAGUUGGUGGGGUAACGGCCCACCAAGGCGACGAUCCAUAGCCGGCCUGAGAGGGUGAACGGCCACAUUGGGACUGAGACACGGCCCAGACUCCUACGGGAGGCAGCAGUGGGGAAUAUUGCACAAUGGGGGAAACCCUGAUGCAGCGACGCCGCGUGAAGGAAGAAGUAUCUCGGUAUGUAAACUUCUAUCAGCAGGGAAGAUAGUGACGGUACCUGACUAAGAAGCCCCGGCUAACUACGUGCCAGCAGCCGCGGUAAUACGUAGGGGGCAAGCGUUAUCCGGAUUUACUGGGUGUAAAGGGAGCGUAGACGGUGUGGCAAGUCUGAUGUGAAAGGCAUGGGCUCAACCUGUGGACUGCAUUGGAAACU
rnacentral:rRNA from 1 species